GCCUCUAUUGGUAAUUACUUUCAUGUGUACUCCUUGCUUAACAUAUCUGAGUCUUCUUCAUCAGAGUUGUGGGGACCUUGUUGAUCUCGUUAAAUUAAUUAAUUAUAGUUUGCAAGGGUUGAGGUUAAAUAUGAAGAGAUAAUUGAAGCAACCUCAACUGGCGCCAGUUCAAUGAUUUCCAAGAUUGUUCAAAUGGAAGUUUUAUGUUUGAUAUCUAAAUCAGUUAGCAUCUUUACUCAUUAGAGAGUACCUGCAUUUCAUUUGUCAAGUUGAGGAUGCUCAAGGUCAUGAAGCACCAAUAGAAGGGCUUACUGAUUCAAUAGCUGGAUCUUCUGUAUACAGUAUAAUGACUCUCAGCUACAAUAUUUGGUUUUUGAAACAAAGGGAGGUGGAAUCAGAAAGGAUAGAGAAGAUGCCGGAGGAACAUGUAGCCGUGAACCUACUUUCUAACUGUGCUCGAGGCUCGACAUGAACAUCACUAGCAGAUUCAUUGGCAGAUAUGGUAUGAUUGCAGAAAAGAAUACAUCUACCUUUGUUU